GCAGAGUAGAUGUUUGCGCGUAAAGUGUCAGCCGGACGGGGAGUUGCCGGCCGAACGAAAAGCCCACCCGGGCUUGCGGUGCAAGCGUCGCAUCCCGCUGC
rnacentral:ncRNA from 1 species